rnacentral:rRNA from 1 species
AGGACGAACGCUGGCGGCGUGCCUAACACAUGCAAGUCGAACGAGGUCCAACCGGUGGCAACACUGGUGAAGACCUAGUGGCGAACGGGUGAGUAUCACGUGAGCAACCUGCCCCGAAGACUGGGAUAACACCGGGAAACCGGUGCUAAUACCGGAUACCCCCACCGGAUCGCAUGGUCUGGUGAGGAAAUGAAUUUUGCUUUGGGAGGGACUCGCGGCCUAUCAGCUUGUUGGUGGUGUAACGGACCACCAAGGCUUCGACGGGUAGCUGGUCUGAGAGGACGAUCAGCCACACUGGGACUGAGACACGGCCCAGACUCCUACGGGAGGCAGCAGUGGGGAAUCUUGCGCAAUGGGCGAAAGCCUGACGCAGCAACGCCGCGUGAGGGACGAAGGGCCUUCUGGGUUGUAAACCUCUUUCAGCAGGGACGAUGAUGACGGUACCUGCAGAAGAAGCCCGGCCAACUACGUGCUAGCAGCCGCGGU